UGUCCCUACGGGAGGCAGCAGUGAGGAAUAUUGGUCAAUGGGCGAGAGCCUGAACCAGCCAAGUCGCGUGAGGGAAGACGGUCCUAUGGAUUGUAAACCUCUUUUGUCGGGGAGCAAGACCCGCCUCGUGCAGGCGGAGCGAGAGUACCCGAAGAAAAAGCAUCGGCUAACUCCGUGCCAGCAGCCGCGGUAAUACGGAGGAUGCGAGCGUUAUCCGGAUUUAUUGGGUUUAAAGGGUGCGCAUGCGGACCAUCAAGUCAGCG
rnacentral:rRNA from 1 species